rnacentral:ncRNA from 1 species
UUCAAUUAAAAUAACUAUUGUCAACUCACCCCAAUACCAUAUAAUGCAAAAUAUAAUAAAUGUGCAAUAUUUAAAUUGAUCUCGAAUCAUAAAAAAAAAAACUCCUACGGGAGGCAGCAGUGGGGAAUUUUCCGCAAUGGGCAAAAGCCUGACGGAGCAAUGCCGCGUGGAGGUAGAAGGCCCACGGGUCGUGAACUUCUUUUCCCGGAGAAGAAG